GAUGAACGCUGGCGGCGUGCCUAAUACAUGCAAGUCGAGCGAACAGACGAGGAGCUUGCUCCUCUGACGUUAGCGGCGGACGGGUGAGUAACACGUGGAUAACCUACCUAUAAGACUGGGAUAACUUCGGGAAACCGGAGCUAAUACCGGAUAAUAUAUUGAACCGCAUGGUUCAAUAGUGAAAGACGGUUUUGCUGUCACUUAUAGAUGGAUCCGCGCCGCAUUAGCUAGUUGGUAAGGUAACGGCUUACCAAGGCAACGAUGCGUAGCCGACCUGAGAGGGUGAUCGGCCACACUGGAAAUGAGACACGGUCCAGACUCCUACGGGAGGCAGAAGUAGGGAAUCUUCCGCAAUGGGCGAAAGCCUGACGGAGCAACGCCGCGUGAGUGAUGAAGGUCUUCGGAUCGUAAAACUCUGUUAUUAGGGAAGAACAAAUGUGUAAGUAACUAUGCAAGUCUUGACGGUACCUAAUCAGAAAGCCACGGCUAACUACGUG
rnacentral:rRNA from 1 species